rnacentral:rRNA from 1 species
CGUGCAGGCGGUUUGAUAAGUUGGAUGUGAAAGCUCCUGGCUUAACUGGGAGAGGUCGUUCAAAACUAUCAGACUAGAGAAUGGUAGAGGAAGAUGGAAUUCCCGGUGUAGUGGUGAAAUGCGUAGAUAUCGGGAGGAACACCAGUGGCGAAGGCGGUCUUCUGGCCCAUUUCUGACGCUCAGACGCGAAGGCUAGGGUAGCAAACG